AACUAAGGAUUUGAAUCUCUGAAGACACUG
rnacentral:piRNA from 1 species